GCAAAGCAUAAAUUCUCAUGAAAACGAAGUCGCUGCACUUCAAGCGUCAGACAGAGGACCAGGUCAAGUCUACGGAGCUGCACUUCAUUUUUUUUAAGAACUCUGCACUUUCUUGUUUACUCUUACUGCAAGUGGAGUGGAUCAUGAUCUGGCUCGUUGUUCCUUUUUCCUAUGCAUAUACUUCUUUGAGAAUUGCUUCUAAAGAGGUAUAGGGCAUGGGAAAAUGGGGCAACUGAGGUACUUCACCACUCAUCCCAAGCGGCAUCGCGAAGGCAACAGCAGAAAUGUUUAGAGAAAACAGAUGGGUGAAGAAAUGAAAGAUGUCUUGGAGGUAGAAGCAGAAGCUCUCUUUGCUCAUUUCAUUUCGUAGAAAAACAGUCAUUUAACACAAUUUUUAUGUUUCUGUCCAAUUACUUCCAGUUACUCUAAAUAGCAAUGAGUCACAACAAUUCUGGGGGGAAAAUACGGCUGUUAUGAAACAAUGUAACUGUACAUAAUGCAUGUCAAAUAAAUAUCUAAUGGUUCAGCCACAGA